UUAAAUUGAAGAGUUUGAUCAUGGCUCAGAUUGAACGCUGGCGGCAGGCCUAACACAUGCAAGUCGAACGGUAACAGGAAGCAGCUUGCUGCUUUGCUGACGAGUGGCGGACGGGUGAGUAAUGUCUGGGAAACUGCCCGAUGGAGGGGGAUAACUACUGGAAACGGUAGCUAAUACCGCAUAACGUCGCAAGACCAAAGAGGGGGACCUUAGGGCCUCUUGCCAUCGGAUGUGCCCAGAUGGGAUUAGCUAGUAGGUGGGGUAACGGCUCACCUAGGCGACGAUCCCUAGCUGGUCUGAGAGGAUGACCAGCCACACUGGAACUGAGACACGGUCCAGACUCCUACGGGAGGCAGCAGUGGGGAAUAUUGCACAAUGGGCGCAAGCCUGAUGCAGCCAUGCCGCGUGUAUGAAGAAGGCCUUCGGGUUGUAAAGUACUUUCAGCGGGGAG
rnacentral:rRNA from 1 species